UGAGGAAUAUUGGUCAAUGGGGGCAACCCUGAACCAGCCAAGUCGCGUGAAGGAUGAAGGUCUUAUGGAUUGUAAACUUCUUUUACACGGGAAUAAAGUGGGGGACGUGUCCCCCUUUGCAUGUACCGUGUGAAUAAGGAUCGGCUAACUCCGUGCCAGCAGCCGCGGUAAUACGGAGGAUCCGAGCGUUAUCCGGAUUUAUUGGGUUUAAAGGGUGCGCAGGCGGGAUGUUAAGUCGGCGGUGAAAUUUUGCAGCUCAACUGUAAAAGUGCCUACGAUACUGGCCUCCUUGAGUGUGGAUGAAGUAGGCGGAAUUUGUGGUGUUGCGGUCAAAUGCUUAGAUAUCACGAGGAACUCCGAUUGCGCAGGCAGCUUACUAAACUACAACUGACGCUCAUGCACGAAGGCGUGGGGAUCAAACA
rnacentral:rRNA from 1 species